GAUUAGUAUGUCUAAAGGAUGCAUAAAAGCUUAUUAAUGUAUAUUCAUAUUGUCGCUGCUUCAUGCUUUUUGCUAGAUCAAAAAGUUAAGUAUGUUUUUUUGUUGUUGGUAACAAAAAAGAUAUUUGCACGGAUUUUAUGAUUAUUAAGGUAACAAAAGAGAUCUUUGCACGGAUUGAUGGUAUGGAUCAAUAGAAUUGUUGUGCUACUACACGGUCUCAAUAGUUCGGGUGGUGACAGAUCUGUCUUUUUAUCGGUUCAAAUAAUUUUUAGCAUGCUUUCUUUUUUUUUGUUUUCCUCCUUCUCGUGAGGUUUGGCAUGUUCCCCUCAUUUUGUUUGUUUUUCCUUUUAUUAAUGAAAUCUCCACGCGAGUUUUUCCAAGAAAAAAAAGAUCAAUAAAAUUGUUGGCGCACUCUCUUA